GCCUUCGUGGUGUAAUGGUCAGCACGCUGGGCGCGUAUUCCAGAGGUCCUUGGUUCGAAUAACGGCGAAGGCG
rnacentral:tRNA from 1 species